ensembl:lncRNA
UAUCUAUUUAAAAUAACUAGCAAGGAAUUGUCUAAGUGCUAAAACAUAAAUUACAAAUGUGAAACCUUGAUUUAUGUUAAUGGUGAAUAAUAUGUGGGAAGUGGCAAGUGAUCACAGAUUUUGCAAUAUUCUGUAAGUGAGGGGGAUGGAGUCAUGGAAAAGUAUGGAAAAAAGUGCUGCCUUGGGCCCCAUUUCUUGAUAUAUAGAUGAUGGCUGUCUUCUAUGAAAUGAUAUAAUCUUGAUGAUGUGACCUUUCACUUCUAUGCCAGACAUCUCCAAAUUUUAGUGAAAUCUGCUCGACACUUCUGAAUGCCUCUACGUCUCCAUGAUGGAUCAGAAAUAUGCAUAUCUCUACAAGGAUAGCAUGGAAGAAAAGAACUGUCUCUAGGGGCACACAGGUGGCUGCUCUGUGGACAUGUGCCAUCCGAACACGACACUGGUGAUUUUCAGUGCACAUGAAUUUUGGACAAAUUUCAUAUUUCUAUAAUUAGAUCACAAGGAAGAAUAUAUAGGUUCCAGACAACAUAAGCUAAUUCUGGCUAGAAUUUAUUGAUGAAGACUCAGAUCUUGAAAUCUGAAUUUAAAACAACCAGCUUUUGGAUGAGCCAGACCAAGGACCCCCAGGGACCUUAGAAGCAGAAGAUAAUGGACCUUUUCUAUAGAACAUUGGACUCUUUGUUUCUCACCUUUAGUGGCCUGAUGUCAAAUGGGUCAUCUUAGUCAAGAAGGCAGGCAGGACCAUGUAUUACAAGCCUAAUUGCUGGGGAUUUUUCUGUAUCUGAAGCAAUUAUAGGCAAAGGGAAUGUUUAGAAGUAAUAAAAUUUUAAGACUUUAAGGGUGAAUGACAGAUAAACUACACAUAUUUAAAGUAUAUAAUUUGGUAUAUUUUGACAUGUGUGUAUACACACCAGGAAACUAUCACCAUAAUGAAGAAAAUGAAGAUAUCCAUAUCUCUGCUGGUUUCCUUUCGUCCUUUUUUCUUUCUUCUCUCUCAGUCCUGUGUCCCUCUUCCUGUACCCAGGCAUCAGCUGACCUGCUUCUGUCAUUGUGGAUUAGUUUGCACUUUCUAGAAUUUUACUUAAAUGGGAUCAUAAGUUCUUUUCUGACUUUUUUCAUUCAGUGUAAUUAUUUUGAGACUUAUCCAUGCUGUAGUAUUUAUCAGUACCUUAUUGCUUUUUAUGGGUGAUUAAUGUUCCAUUGGCUGGCUAUACUAUAGUUUAUUCAUUAAGCUGUUGAUGACAUUAGGGUUCUAGUUUGAGGCUAUUACUGAUAAAGUUGGUAUGAAUAUUUACAUGCAAGUGUUUUCUUUUAGACAUUUGUUUUCAUUUCUCUUGAGUAAAACCUAGGAGUAGAAUGGCCUGGUAAUCCUGUAGGUGGGUGUUUUACUUUUUCAUCAACUGCCAAGAAGUUUUUCAAAGUGGUUGUAUAAUUUUCUAUUCCUACUGGCAACAUGUGAGAGUUCUGGUUCUCUAUCAUCACUAGCACUUGGUUAUAUCCAGGACUUACUUUUUUUUUAUUAAGUUUAUUGGUACAUUUUAGGUAUACAAUACAGUUACUUUCACCAUUGGUAUCUUGUACCUUUACAUGAUAUAUAUUGGUUCUUAUUUUUUCCCCCUUCUCCUGCCAUCCCUUCAACCCCUCCACCCUUCCCUAUUUACAAAGACUUUGUUUCCAUUUUUUCAUUUUCUCAUAAUUUUUCCUUUCCCUUCUUUCCUUUCCCCUACCCCUCCCACUUUCCCUUCCUCCUUUGAACCUUUUCUUCCUAUUUCACGUUAUCAAUCAUACAUUUUGAUCCUUAUUUAUACUUUUAGUUUCUCACACCAGAGAAACUAUUUGGUAUUUACAUAUGCAUGCCCUGUUUAUUUCACUUAAGAGUUGCAUAUCGAGGCCAUACUUUAAGUGAAAUAAAUGGGACACAUGUGUAAAUAGCGAAUAGUUUCUGUAGUGUGAGAAACUGAUAGUGUAAAUAAGAGUUAAAAUGAUUAAAAUGAAUAAUUGAUAAUUUGAA